rnacentral:lncRNA from 1 species
UUGCCUCUGACUUGAUCACGCGCCGCGUGAUUCUGUUAUCACGCGCGGCAUAGUGAUGGAUUUGCAACCACGCGCGGCGUGGUAGAUCUGACGCGCGGCGUGGUUGCCUUCUGUAUAUAUAUUUUCUGCAGAAUUCUGUUUUGGGGUUGGAAAAUUCUGCAUCUUUUCACUACAUUCUGGUUUUGGAACUUGAGGAUCGUGAUUCAACACUCCAGCGGAGAGCUCCAAGCGCAUCAGAUCAUGGAUCCACAAGCCGUGGCGAUGAAGCGAGGAAGCGUACGAAGAACGAUGAGGAGCUAAACUCCCUCGGAGGUAGAAUCUAGGAUAAUUUAGAAUGUAGUUCAGUUGAAUNNNNN